rnacentral:misc_RNA from 1 species
GAUGAAGAACGUAGUGAAAUGCGAUAAGUAAUGUGAAUUGCAGAAUUCAGUGAAUCAUCGAAUCUUUGAACGCACAUUGCGCCCGCCAGUAUUCUGGCGGGCAUCCCUGUCUGAGCGUCAUUUCAACCCUCAUGCCCCUAGGGCGUGGUGUUGGGGAUCGGCCAAAGCCCGCGAGGGACGGCCGGCCCCUAAAUCUAGUGGCGGACCCGUCGUGGCCUCCUCUGCGAAGUAGUGAUAUUCCGCAUCGGAGAGCGACGAGCCCCUGCCGUUAAACCCCCAACUUUCCAAGGUUGACCUCAGAUCAGGUAGGAAUACCCGCUGAACUUAAGCAUAUCAAUAAGCGGAGGA